rnacentral:rRNA from 1 species
UACGGGGGGGGCAAGCGUUGCUCGGAAUCACUGGGCGUAAAGCGCACGUAGGCGGACUUUUAAGUCGGAGGUGAAAUCCUGGAGCUCAACUCCAGAACUGCCUUCGAUACUGAGAGUCUUCGAGUUCGGGAGAGGUGAGUGGAACUGCGAGUGUAGAGGUGAAAUUCGUAGAUAUUCGCAAGAACACCAGUGGCGAAGGCGGCUCACUGGCCCGAUACUGACGCUGAGGUGCGAAAGCGUGGGGAGCAAACAGG